GAUGGCGAAGGCAGCNUCCUGGGAUAACACUGACGUUCAUGCCCGAAAGCGUGGGUAGCAAACAGGAUUAGAUACCNUGGUAGUCCACGCCCUAAACGAUGUCGAUUAGCUGUUGGGCAGCAUGACUGCUUAGUAGCGAAGCUAACGCGUGAAAUCGACCGCCUGGGGAGUACGGUCGCAAGAUUAAAACUCAAAGGAAUUGACGGGGACCCGCACAAGCGGUGGAUGAUGUGGAUUAAUUCGAUGCAACGCGAAGAACCUUACCUGGUCUUGACAUGUACGGAACCCUUCAGAGACGGAGGGGUGCCUUCGGGAGCCGUAACACAGGUGCUGCAUGGCUGUCGUCAGCUCGUGUCGUGAGAUGUUGGGUUAAGUCCCGCAACGAGCGCAACCCUUGUCAUUAGUUGCCAUCAUUAAGUUGGGCACUCUAAUGAGACUGCCGGUGACAAGCCGGAGGAAGGUGGGGAUGACGUCAAGUCCUCAUGGCCCUUAUGACCAGGGCUUCACACGUCAUACAAUGGUCGGUACAGAGGGUAGCCAAGCCGCGAGGCGGAGCCAAUCUCACAAAACCGAUCGUAGUCCGGAUUGCACUCUGCAACUCGAGUGCAUGAAGUCGGAAUCGCUAGUAAUCGCAGGUCAGCAUACUGCGGUGAAUACGUUCCCGGGUCUUGUACACACCGCCCGUCACACCAUGGGAGUGGGGGAUACCAG
rnacentral:rRNA from 1 species